GCGUCCACCCCCGGGAAAUUCUGGCGCGCUGGGCAACGCAGAGUUGGGUCUGGCUGUGAGAGUGCGGUGUGUGCGCCCGCCCGAGGCUUCGGGGGUCUCGGCUAUGCACGCGCCGUGCGGGGCUGGCGUCGUGGCGCUUCCCGCAGCCAAGAUCCCCGCGGGUAUACACACUCCAGUUCUUUAAGGAGUUUACUCCUGGCCGGGUAAAAUGCCUACCCCGCAUAUUUUAGGCACAAAGAAAUAAAGGGUGAAGGCUAUCCUCCCCCAGGCAAGAAAGGGAAGGGCUCUUCAGCUUGAGAACCUGGCCUUCGCCGGUUCAUCUGUGUGCUCUUCCGCUCACUGCUCAGCGUCAUCCCCAGCGGCUGUAUAACCAGUGUCUUGAAUGACAGGUUUUGGGUGUCUGCCCACCAGUGAUUGCCCAGAGAAAAGCCGGCCAGAGAAGAAAGUUACACCCAUGGCCAGGCGCGGCGCCACAGGCCUGUAAACCUGUCAUCCCAGGAGGUGGAAGGCAGAGAAUUGCAAGGAGCUCAUGUGUUCUUUUAGGCCCCAGCCCUCCUUGACUGCCCAGGCCUGGCUUCGCCGUGGAGGGAGAUGUCUCCUGUUCUGCAGUGCUUCGCCCCUUCAGAUCCUGCUGCUGCUGCUCACCUAGUGACUGAGCCCGAGGAUGUGACCUUUCUGACCCUUGACUUCCUCCUCUACGAAGUGGUGGUAAUGACAAACCUUACCUCAUAAACCUGACAAUACUAGCUUAGAUUAUGUGACAUACUGUAAACAAAAAGCCUAGCAUAAUGCCUGGCACAUACUCAAUGUUCAAUAAAUAGAAGGUAUGAUUAAUA